rnacentral:rRNA from 1 species
CAGUAGCCGCGGUAAUACGGAGGGGGCUAGCGUUGUUCGGAAUUACUGGGCGUAAAGCGCACGUAGGCGGCUUGGUAAGUUAGAGGUGAAAGCCCGGAGCUCAACUCCGGAAUUGCCUUUAAGACUGCCGAGCUAGUAGGUGAGAGAGGUAAGUGGAAUUCCGAGUGUAGAGGUGAAAUUCGUAGAUAUUCGGAAGAACACCAGUGGCGAAGGCGGCUUACUGGCCCAUUCUAGACGCUGAGGUGCGAAAGCGUGGGGAGCAAACAGGAUUAGAUACCCCAGUAGUCCCUGUCUCUUAUAC